CUGUUGCGACAACAACAGCAGCACCUACAACUGCUGCACCUACGUCUGUUGCCCUGACAACUGCAGCACCUACAACGGCUCGAUCUGCAACUACAGCACCUACUACUAUAGCCCUUAGAAGGGUGACUUUCCGUUCUGUCCUAGACACAUUUACUAUUGAAUUGCAGGAUCCAUCUUCUGAUGAUUUUAAAGGUCGGGCUACAUUGGUGAAGGAACAGCUUACACCUGUUUACCAAAACGCAUUCCCUUCGUCCUUCAAAUCACUAGAUGUUGUUUCAUUCAGUAACGGAUCAAUCAUCAGCGUCAUUGACGUUUCAU